GUGACGUCAUGUCAAACAGAUAUGAACAACGGGGUCGAAGGAUCGUACGUGAAUUCUAAUCAAUGGAAGGAUUACAAAUCAGUUAAAUAUAGAUCCAAUUGAACAUGUGAUGCUACUUUCAACCAACCAAUGGACGGACCAUAUAGGUGAUUGCUGAGUGGACAUCCCAAAUGUAGGGUUCAUUUUAUCAUCCGUGAUCAACGAUCUCAGAAUUUCCCAUUAAAAGUUUCGUGAUGCGGUCUGUCAACAGAAACAUGUGCUCUGGGAAACACUGAUGAGCACUGGCUGCCUGCAUUCAUUGGUCUUCAUUCAGGGGAUUUAUUUGGAGUUACUACAGAUGAAAAACAACCUCAAUAUCUAGUGUGUGAUUGGAGCUUAAUGAUCGUGCUGUUGCUACUGGCUAUAAACAGAGCAUAAGAGGCCGGAGGGGAGUACCUGAACUAGGCUCACAAUAGCCAUAUCCCGUUCAAAAUGAGUGGAACGCAUAAAUACGAUGACAAUCGCCACCGCAAAAAGACCGGUUCAAGAACGGGCAGCAGUGGGGGACGCAGCAGCAAUACUGGCAAUGCAGGAGUACUUAUGGUUGGACCCAAUUUCAGGGUGGGAAAGAAAAUUGGAUGUGGUAAUUUUGGAGAACUAAGACUUGGUGAGUAUUGGUGUCAGCAUCACAAAACACUUGUACUGUCGUACAUGUCUGAAAUGCAUGCAUAUCAUGGUAUCCAAAGUAUACAGAUGACACCCAGAAUGUACAUGUACAUGUAUGUUCCAGAGCUGCCAACUAUUAUGAUAAAGUCAUAAUUACGUUUUUCACUCAUUUAUUACUACGCGUUUUGGUGCACUGUACAAAAUUUUAAUACACACAUAAUACAUUGCGUAGUGGCGAAGUCAUCCGAAGAUGGCAAAUACUGCCAUUACACACAUGAUCAUGUCUCUUUGUUUUACAAUGCUGCGCAUGUGAUGAUUGCCUUAUGUACAUGUACCUCGUGUAAUUUUCGUACCUUAGAUUGCGUGCAUUGUCAGUGGAAAAUUUUAGUAUGGAUAGAAGUCCACACACAUGUGCAAAAUGGGUAGUUAGUUUUCCAUGUUUUUGAUGAAAUAUUCGCUAAUUUAAGGAUUGGGCGCUGAUCAGUUUGUAAACUUUUUGUGCAUCAUGGAUUAAAACUUAUGUCGCUUUAGUAGAACUUUGGAUUGUUAAAAUGGAUUAUUUGAUGUGACAGUGAUAUGCUGCAAAGGAUCAAAUAUUCACGAUUUAGAGGAUCUCGCCUGCUUAUCCAGUUCAACGAAGUCUCCAAACUUGAUACGCCACUGGGUUCAAAGGCGAAACAGCCUUUCAGGCAUGAGUACACCAGCAGAAUACAAGGCCAUGUAUAAUACCAUCUCCCAAAGGUGAAAACCAUGCUUGGUGCAACACUUGCUCAUCAGAUUUUUCCAUUGCACAGUGGAGCAUAUUAAGAAACAUUUAAAACCAUCAGUCUGCUGUACAUUGUAUAUGCAAUGAAAAUGCCUCAUUGUGCGAAUGUUCUAUUAUCACUUCAAAGAAAUUUAUAAUACCCUGCGCAUGGCGCAUAUGAAAUUACUCUUUUUAUUUUAAAAUUACUACUUUUUACUUUUAAAGGUUGGCAGCUCUGUUCAUCUUGAGCUUUUUUAUUUUGAACAUUUUGAGCCUGGUUGGUAUAUAUGCAGGAAAAACAGCAUUAAUACUGAAAAAUUACCCAAACCGCUGUAAAGCUUUUGUCACAACCUGCCAUGUGUGUCUGUAUGCAAGUUCGUCGCAGCCUUCACUCUCCAAAGCAAAUUUCUGUGAUUCAUACAUGCACCUCUAACGUGGGUCUUGUGUCAUACACCUUCAUGUUUCUACAUCUUUUCUUGGGUCGCUAUAUAUACAUGUAUCAUGGAAUAUAUUGCAUUUGAAUAUACAUGUAAUUGAGUCAAGCAUAGAGCACUCACAAAGCACAAUCGAUGUGCAACCUAUUUGAUUAAUGCCCGCUCUCCAUUUUAAACCAUGGAGUUCUGGUGACCUGAAUUGCUUCUGCAUUCGUUCGACACAAGAAGCAUAUGGUGGAAGUUCAAAUGGCUACAUGUACAGGUAUCACUUGCCUGUAUUUGUGUUUACCAGCACACAUAGCCGCACACUGUUUGUUGUUGUUUUUUUUUUUUUAUUCAUAGUAUUAAAAAAAAUGAAAAUCCCACCUGGGGAUUGUGUCCCUUCAUUCUCAAUACCUUGAGAUUUUGUUGAUUUGGUAGUGAUUUUUAUUUCUUCCAGCGACAGAUAUUUGAAGAAAAAGAGCUAUACAUGUAUCUUUCAAAGUGAAGGACACAAAAUACCUUGUCCUUGCCCUUUAUAUUCCCGAAACCUGCAUGAAAAUAUACACAGCUUUUUCAUUAAGCAUCCUUCUAAGCUUGUCAUCCUUGUGGCUGAAAUGUGAUUAUGCCAUCCUUGAAUGUCAUGGAGUAUCGUUGCAUUCAUUAAUAUUGUACAAGCAUAAACUUGACAGAUGGAUGUGAAGAGGAGAUGUACAGUACAUGUACAAGGAGGAAGAGGGAUUUAGCUUGGUACAUUACCUCUGUAUGUCAGGAAGAGCGUAAUGUCUGAUCAUGUUCGUGCUAUCCUACUAAUACCAUGUGGUGAGUAGACGAACUGAUGAUAGACCAAGUGGUAGUAGACGAGUUGGCAAUUGGACGAAUUGGCAUUAGACGAAUUGGAAAUAAAUCGUCCCGAAGACCUCAGAUAAAAAUUCGAUCCAGAUCCAGCUGAAAGCACUUCUACCCCAAAGUAAAGUUUAGAGCAGAGCAGUUUUGAGUUAUAAGUUAUCAGAAAUCUGAAUUUCACCAAUAUUAUACGUACAUAGCGAACUAAGCAUCAUGGGGUGGGGUCUAUACACCGGCUUACUUAUACAUGUACAAUGUAAGGGUUGAGAUAUUAUAGACCCUGUUAGCUUGAAAUAUUAGGCCUUCUAAUUGGCCAAAUUAUCAUUGUACCAAACAACAUGUAUACAAAUUAAACACAAUUUAUCAAAAACAUUUGAAAAGUCAUAACAUGCUUUUGGCUCUUACAUGUAUGUGCUUGGCCUGAAUAAGGGGUGCACAUGCUGCUAAUUAAGAACCCCUGUUCAUGUUUGAUUUUGAUACAUGUAGGGAGUAAUCCAUGUUGUAUCUUGAUGACUUGCAUGAAACAAAUUGCCAGGGUUUCAACAGUGGCAUUGAUUGUGCAUCACUUUCAUCAAUAGAAAUCAAUUUCU